rnacentral:rRNA from 1 species
GACGAACGCUGGCGGCGUGCUUAACACAUGCAAGUCGAACGGAAAGGCCCCCACCUUGGUGGGGGUGCUCGAGUGGCGAACGGGUGAGUAACACGUGGGUGAUCUGCCCUGUACUUCGGGAUAAGCUUGGGAAACUGGGUCUAAUACCGGAUAGGACCAUGGUUUAGUGUCUCAUGGUGGAAAAAUUAUUGUUUUGGUGCAGGAUGAGCUCGCGGCCUAUCAGCUUGUUGGUGGGGUAAUGGCCUACCAAGGCGUCGGCGGGUGGCCGGACGGGGAGGGGGGACGGCCACAUUGGGACUGAGGUACGGCCCAGCCUCCUGCGGGAGCAGGCGGGGGGGUAGAUUGAACAAUGGGCGCAAGCCUGAGGCAGCGCCGCCGCGUGGGGGAUGACGGCCUUCUGGUUGUAAACUCCUUUCGUUAGGGACGAAGCCACACCUUUUUCGGGUGUGGAGACGGUACCUUUGUGAAGAAGCACCGGCUAACUACGUG